ensembl:lncRNA
AUUUCUAAUGCAUUAAUGAAUUAUUUGGGGGUGAAUUGAUGUGGAGAAAUAUAAAUAUUCUAAAAUCCUGAAACAGUAGGGAUUAUUGAAGGAUCACUUUUAUUCUGCUGCAAAGAAAGGGAUUAUGAAGAAAUGCUUCUUUGUGUCCUCUCAGAGGUUGAGCCACAUUUAGGAGUUACUCAGGUUGGCUCAGAGGUUAUAAAUAGAGCAAAUCCCAGCCUCUGUAAGUGUUUUCUGCUAGGGACGUCCCAUUAGAGAUCCCAGCUCUAUGUUUCUGAAAGUUUUUCCAUUGGUUGGCAGAUGCUUCACUGGGCUUCCCAGGAGGAAAUGGCAACCCACUCCAGGGUUCUUGCCUGGAGAAUUCCAUGGGCAGAGGAGUCUGGCAGGCUAGAGUCAUUAGUUCUAUCCUGCUGAAAAUCCAGGAAAAGGGAGGGGGAAACAAUCCAGUUCCUUUCUGGAGCAAAACACUAGUCAUUACUGUUUCUGCUCAUUCUGGAUCAGGGCAUGGCUCCAUCCACAGCUCCAGGUGCCUGCCGACAUUUCCACGUGUUGUUAUUUAGUUGCUCAGCUGUAUCUGACUCUUUGCGACCCCAGGGACCUGCCAGGUUCCUCUGUCCAUGGAAUUCUCCAGGCAAGAAUACUAGCCAUUUCCUUCUCCAGGGGAUCUUCCUGUCCCAGGGAUAAAACUUGUGUCUCCUGCAUUGGCAGGUGGGUUCUUUACCAUCAGAGCCACCAGAGAUCUCCACAAAACCCUGGCCAGCUAGAGAGAUGGGGCAAACACACCAGAAACAGAAGGUUUUUUGUUCAUUGACGGAAAUGGGAACGUCUGUGAAACUUGAUUCUCCAAUACAAGAUUAUAGAGGCUCUUUUCCUUCCUCCUAGGUGCUCUCUUACAAAAGACAGCAUUUUCUUCAGCAGAGCCGGGGAAGGGAAUAGAGUCAGCAGAAUCCGUCGAGCUGGUUUCUCAGGACCAGAACUGGAUCUGCUCUCCAGGGCCCCUGCUUUCUGUCAUCCACUCCUCCUCUCUCCUCCCCUGAGAACAAGCACAUCUGAUAAAUAAAUGUCUGUCAGGCUCCAGACUGUACAUAGUGAAGCGAAGUUGCUCAGUCGUGUCUGACUCUUUGCAAGCUCAUGGACUGUAGCCCACCAGGCUCCUCCAUCCAUGGAGUGGGUUGCCAUUUCCUUCUCCAGGAGAUCUUCCCAGCCCAGGGAUUGAACCCAGGUCUAGACUGUACAUAGACACUGUGUAAAGGCAGUGGGAUGGCAAAAAGGAGGAGACAGAAUAGUCCGAGCCCCCAGAUGUCUUUUGAGAGGAGAAUUAAACAGGCAGAGGGUGGUCCCGGGCACUGAGUGGAUGGGGGUCCCGGGCACCGAGUGGACGGGGCAGACAGACGCUGCUGUCCAGGUUCAGCAAGCACAGGAUCUGUGCUCCUCUAGAACACACUGACCCAGAAGCCUUGCCGAGGAGGACAGAAGCUCACCCUUUAGCUCAUCGGGCCGUCUUUGAGGGGCCGUCUUCUCUCCAUCCCUCCCCUUUGCUCUCUUGGCGCUCCUGAGCACAGACGGAGAUAUAGCCCCUCUGCUUUUACUAGCAGUGCCUGCUGGAAAACAGAACGGUUUUCCCUGACUGCUCUAGAGUCAAUGGUCUCAGUAAC